AGAGUUUGAUCCUGGCUCAGGACGAACGCUGGCGGCGUGCCUAAUACAUGCAAGUCGAACGCUUCUUUUUCCACCGGAGCUUGCUCCACCGGAAAAAGAGGAGUGGCGAACGGGUGAGUAACACGUGGGUAACCUGCCCAUCAGAAGGGGAUAACACUUGGAAACAGGUGCUAAUACCGUAUAACAAUCGAAACCGCAUGGUUUUGAUUUGAAAGGCGCUUUCGGGUGUCGCUGAUGGAUGGACCCGCGGUGCAUUAGCUAGUUGGUGAGGUAACGGCUCACCAAGGCCACGAUGCAUAGCCGACCUGAGAGGGUGAUCGGCCACAUUGGGACUGAGACACGGCCCAAACUCCUACGGGAGGCAGCAGUAGGGAAUCUUCGGCAAUGGACGAAAGUCUGACCGAGCAACGCCGCGUGAGUGAAGAAGGUUUUCGGAUCGUAAAACUCUGUUGUUAGAGAAGAACAAGGAUGAGAGUAACUGUUCAUCCCUUGACGGUAUCUAACCAGAAAGCCACGGCUAACUACGUGCCAGCAGCCGCGGUAAUACGUAGGUGGCAAGCGUUGUCCGGAUUUAUUGGGCGUAAAGCGAGCGCAGGCGGUUUUUUAAGUCUGAUGUGAAAGCCCUCGGCUCAACCGGGGAGGGUCAUUGGAAACUGGGAGACUUGAGUGCAGAAGAGGAGAGUGGAAUUCCAUGUGUAGCGGUGAAAUGCGUAGAUAUAUGGAGGAACACCAGUGGCGAAGGCGGCUCUCUGGUCUGUAACUGACGCUGAGGCUCGAAAGCGUGGGGAGCAAACAGGAUUAGAUACCCUGGUAGUCCACGCCGUAAACGAUGAGUGCUAAGUGUUGGAGGGUUUCCGCCCUUCAGUGCUGCAGCUAACGCAUUAAGCACUCCGCCUGGGGAGUACGACCGCAAGGUUGAAACUCAAAGGAAUUGACGGGGGCCCGCACAAGCGGUGGAGCAUGUGGUUUAAUUCGAAGCAACGCGAAGAACCUUACCAGGUCUUGACAUCCUUUGACCACUCUAGAGAUAGAGCUUCCCCUUCGGGGGCAAAGUGACAGGUGGUGCAUGGUUGUCGUCAGCUCGUGUCGUGAGAUGUUGGGUUAAGUCCCGCAACGAGCGCAACCCUUAUUGUUAGUUGCCAUCAUUCAGUUGGGCACUCUAGCAAGACUGCCGGUGACAAACCGGAGGAAGGUGGGGAUGACGUCAAAUCAUCAUGCCCCUUAUGACCUGGGCUACACACGUGCUACAAUGGGAAGUACAACGAGUCGCGAAGUCGCGAGGCUAAGCUAAUCUCUUAAAGCUUCUCUCAGUUCGGAUUGCAGGCUGCAACUCGCCUGCAUGAAGCCGGAAUCGCUAGUAAUCGCGGAUCAGCACGCCGCGGUGAAUACGUUCCCGGGCCUUGUACACACCGCCCGUCACACCACGAGAGUUUGUAACACCCGAAGUCGGUGAGGUAACCUUUUGGAGCCAGCCGCCUAAGGUGGGAUAGAUGAUUGGGGUGAAGUCGUAACAAGGUAGCCGUAUCGGAAGGUGCGGCUGGAUCACCU
rnacentral:rRNA from 1 species